rnacentral:rRNA from 1 species
UACGUAGGGUGCAAGCGUUAAUCGGAAUUACUGGGCGUAAAGCGUGCGCAGGCGGUUUUGUAAGUCUGACGUGAAAUCCCCGGGCUCAACCUGGGAAUUGCGUUGGAGACUGCAAGGCUGGAGUCUGGCAGAGGGGGGUAGAAUUCCCGGUGUAGCAGUGAAAUGCGUAGAGAUCGGGAGGAACACCAGUGGCGAAGGCGGCCUUCUGGACCAAUACUGACGCUCAUGCACGAAAGCGUGGGGAGCAAACAGG